rnacentral:rRNA from 1 species
CCUACGGGUGGCUGCAGUCGAGAAUCAUUCACAAUGGGGGAAACUCUGAUGGUGCGACGCCGCGUGGGGGAAUGAAGGUCUUCGGAUUGUAAACUCCUGUCAUGUGGGAGCAAAUUAAAAAGAUAGUACCACAAGAGGAAGAGACGGCUAACUCUGUGCAAGCAGCCGCGGUACUACAGAGGUCUCAAGCGUUGUUCGGAAUCACUGGGCGUAAAGCGUGCGUAGGCGGUUUCGUAAGUCGUGUGUGAAAGGCGCGGGCUCAACCCGCGGACGGCAUAUGAUACUGGGAGACUAGAGUGAAGGAGGGGGAAGCGGAAUUCUGGGUGUAGCAGUGAAAUGCGUAGAUAUCGAGAGGAACACUCGUGGCGAAGGCGGGUUCCUGGACAUUAACUGACGCUGAGGCACGAAGGCGAGGGGAGCGAAAGGGAUUAGAUACCCGUGUAGUC